rnacentral:rRNA from 1 species
GGGUUGUGAGGUUAAGCGACUAAGCGUACACGGUGGAUGCCCUGGCAGUCAGAGGCGAUGAAGGGCGUGCUAAUCUGCGAUAAGCGCCGGUAAGGUGAUAUGAACCGUUAUAACCGGCGAUACCCGAAUGGGGAAACCCAGUGUGAUUCGUCACACUAUCAUUAACUGAAUCCAUAGGUUAAUGAGGCGAACCGGGGGAACUGAAACAUCUAAGUACCCCGAGGAAAAGAAAUCAACCGAGAUUCCCCCAGUAGCGGCGAGCGAACGGGGAGGAGCCCAGAGCCUGAAUCAGCAUGUGUGUUAGUGGAAGCGUCUGGAAAGGCGCGCGAUACAGGGUGACAGCCCCGUACACAAAAGCGCAUGUGCUGUGAGCUCGAUGAGUAGGGCGGGACACGUGGUAUCCUGUCUGAAUAUGGGGGACCAUCCUCCAAGGCUAAAUACUCCUGACUGACCGAUAGUGAACCAGUACCGUGAGGGAAAGGCGAAAAGAACCCCGGCGAGGGGAGUGAAAAAGAACCUGAAACCGUGUACGUACAAGCAGUGGGAGCCCCACCACUAAGCCAGUGGUGAACUCCACAUCCGCAUCCUUUGCUGAGGAUACGGUUAACGGAGCGAAAGCGACGUUCAACCGCAAAACAAGCAGAGGGGGCUUAGUGGUGGGGUGACUGCGUACCUUUUGUAUAAUGGGUCAGCGACUUAUAUUCUGUAGCAAGGUUAACCGAAUAGGGGAGCCGGAGGGAAACCGAGUCUUAAUUGGGCGUUAAGUUGCAGGGUAUAGACCCGAAACCCGGUGAUCUAGCCAUGGGCAGGUUGAAGGUUGGGUAACACUAACUGGAGGACCGAACCGACUAAUGUUGAAAAAUUAGCGGAUGACCUGUGGCUGGGGGUGAAAGGCCAAUCAAACCGGGAGAUAGCUGGUUCUCCCCGAAAGCUAUUUAGGUAGCGCCUCGUGAAUUCAUCUCCGGGGGUAGAGCACUGUUUCGGCUAGGGGGCCAUCCCGGCUUACCAACCCGAUGCAAACUGCGAAUACCGGAGAAUGUUAUCACGGGAGACACACGGCGGGUGCUAACGUCCGUCGUGAAGAGGGAAACAACCCAGACCGCCAGCUAAGGUCCCAAAGUCAUGGUUAAGUGGGAAACGAUGUGGGAAGGCCCAGACAGCCAGGAUGUUGGCUUAGAAGCAGCCAUCAUUUAAAGAAAGCGUAAUAGCUCACUGGUCGAGUCGGCCUGCGCGGAAGAUGUAACGGGGCUAAACCAUGCACCGAAGCUGCGGCAGCGAACGUAUCACCCAAGACAACUUUACGGAGUUGACGAUUGACGGAGCGAAGCGACGUCAAAGCGUUCAUUAAAGUCGAGUUGGCUUAGGGAUACGUUCGUUGGGUAGGGGAGCGUUCUGUAAGCCUGUGAAGGUGUGUCGUGAGGCAUGCUGGAGGUAUCAGAAGUGCGAAUGCUGACAUAAGUAACGAUAAAGCGGGUGAAAAGCCCGCUCGCCGGAAGACCAAGGGUUCCUGUCCAACGUUAAUCGGGGCAGGGUGAGUCGACCCCUAAGGCGAGGCCGAAAGGCGUAGUCGAUGGGAAACGGGUUAAUAUUCCCGUACUUGGUGUUACUGCGAAGGGGGACGGAGAAGGCUAUGUUGGCCGGGCGACGGUUGUCCCGGUUUAAGCGUGUAGGUGUGUGUUCCAGGUAAAUCCGGUUCACUUUAACACUGAGGCGUGACGACGAGGCACUACGGUGCUGAAGCAACAAAUGCCCUGCUUCCAGGAAAAGCCUCUAAGCAUCAGGUAACACGAAAUCGUACCCCAAACCGACACAGGUGGUCAGGUAGAGAAUACCAAGGCGCUUGAGAGAACUCGGGUGAAGGAACUAGGCAAAAUGGUGCCGUAACUUCGGGAGAAGGCACGCUGACACGUAGGUGAAGUGAUUUACUCAUGGAGCUGAAGUCAGUCGAAGAUACCAGCUGGCUGCAACUGUUUAUUAAAAACACAGCACUGUGCAAACACGAAAGUGGACGUAUACGGUGUGACGCCUGCCCGGUGCCGGAAGGUUAAUUGAUGGGGUCAGCGCAAGCGAAGCUCCUGAUCGAAGCCCCGGUAAACGGCGGCCGUAACUAUAACGGUCCUAAGGUAGCGAAAUUCCUUGUCGGGUAAGUUCCGACCUGCACGAAUGGCGUAAUGAUGGCCAGGCUGUCUCCACCCGAGACUCAGUGAAAUUGAACUCGCUGUGAAGAUGCAGUGUACCCGCGGCAAGACGGAAAGACCCCGUGAACCUUUACUAUAGCUUGACACUGAACAUUGAGCCUUGAUGUGUAGGAUAGGUGGGAGGCUUUGAAGUGUGGACGCCAGUCUGCAUGGAGCCGACCUUGAAAUACCACCCUUUAAUGUUUGAUGUUCUAACGUGGACCCGUAAUCCGGGUUGCGGACAGUGUCUGGUGGGUAGUUUGACUGGGGCGGUCUCCUCCUAAAGAGUAACGGAGGAGCACGAAGGUUGGCUAAUCCUGGUCGGACAUCAGGAGGUUAGUGCAAUGGCAUAAGCCAGCUUGACUGCGAGCGUGACGGCGCGAGCAGGUGCGAAAGCAGGUCAUAGUGAUCCGGUGGUUCUGAAUGGAAGGGCCAUCGCUCAACGGAUAAAAGGUACUCCGGGGAUAACAGGCUGAUACCGCCCAAGAGUUCAUAUCGACGGCGGUGUUUGGCACCUCGAUGUCGGCUCAUCACAUCCUGGGGCUGAAGUAGGUCCCAAGGGUAUGGCUGUUCGCCAUUUAAAGUGGUACGCGAGCUGGGUUUAGAACGUCGUGAGACAGUUCGGUCCCUAUCUGCCGUGGGCGCUGGAGAACUGAGGGGGGCUGCUCCUAGUACGAGAGGACCGGAGUGGACGCAUCACUGGUGUUCGGGUUGUCAUGCCAAUGGCACUGCCCGGUAGCUAAAUGCGGAAGAGAUAAGUGCUGAAAGCAUCUAAGCACGAAACUUGCCCCGAGAUGAGUUCUCCCUGAGACUUUAGGUCUCCUGAAGGAACGUUGAAGACGACGACGUUGAUAGGCCGGGUGUGUAAGCGCAGCGAUGCGUUGAGCUAACCGGUACUAAUGAACCGUGAGGCUUAACCUUACAACGCCGAAG